rnacentral:lncRNA from 1 species
UUACAGUCUGAUAUCACUCCCUGUAUCCUCCUAAGGUAUGUCUUUGCUCUUGAUAGUGCUAAGAUAGCCCAGUCUCUGGUCACCUAACUAAAAGCCCCAACUCACACCAAACACUUUCCUCUUCCCUUUCCUUUACCAUUGGAUUAGUAAGGGUGUCUUACAUGAUUCUGUGUUUAUCUAGGUACUAAGACAUAAGGGAUGUUUUUUCUCAGGGUAACUGGGAAAUCUGAAAUUAAGGAAGGGAUACUUGCCUUUCAGUUUGUAAUGUUUUAUACCAUGUAAUGUGUGAUUGUAUGUACAUUAAACACUGCUGCUACU